rnacentral:lncRNA from 1 species
UUUUCUUUUGGGAAUUUCUGAGCUAGGCAACAUCUUGUAAGACAAAUUCAUGGCUUUAAGAUGUAGAAAAUAACCAUCUGUCCCACAAAACAGUGUUAAAAAUUGGGAAAUUGGGGGUAGAAUUCCAAAUUCAAUUGCUAUCCCUACCUCUUCUGCUGAUCAACUUACCUAAGGGAACAUGCAGACUUGGGUCUAUGCCCCAAUGAGCUUUUUAUUAGUAAGCAGGCGAAUGCCCAAACUCAAAGCUUGGAUCAAGGCCAAUAGAGACAGGGAGGUCUAAGUGAGGUCUCUUGCCUUUCCAACCCCAAAUCUAUAUCCUGUGACCCCCUCACCUAUGCCAGAAGAAAGAAGAGUAGGAGUGAGGAUAAGAACAAGACUUAUAGAGAGGAGGUUAUGAAUAGCUGAGCACUAGUCCACCUUCCUGACCAGGUACCAGGAUGAGCCUUGAGCCUUCUGCACCUUUGAAAUGCAGGAACCCACCCAAAUCUCUCACAAAGUCCCACAAAUGUAGAAGCAACUGUGACUUUUGUAGCCAGCAGCAUUUUGCAAACAAAAUGAUGUUCCUAAGACCCAGUGAAGUGAUGGCAGCAGACUGAGUUUUGGGGGGUAGGUGUGUGUGUGUGUGGGGGGGGCAGCAUAUGCAAGGGAAGCCAAGGACAAAGAACAAUGUCUUGGUUUCCGCCUCGCAGGGAUGCCUUCUAGAACAGGUUAGUUUUCCAACUGCUACAUGUAAAUUUAAAUUCAGUUGCGAGAAACUUCCAAACAAGACAUUAACUAUGACACAGGAUCCUUUUAUAAGGACAUAGAUGACUUCCUAUACAUCUUCCUCCUUCUGCUCAAAAAAAAUCUAACUUUUUCUAUGGACUCCCCUUUCCCCCCAACCAAUUGACCACAACUGACCGAUGUGGUCUGAUUGGUCUAAGAGUCAUCCUCACCCUUGCCAGGCAUUCAUUCAAGAAGGGACAGAGAGGGCAUCCAGGUGGCUCCAGCGGUUUAGUGCUGCCUUCACCCCCGGGGCCUGAUCCUGGAGACCCGGCCCUGUAGGGCUCCCUGCAUGGAGCCUGCCCCUCCCUCCGCCUGUGUCUGUGCCUCUCUGUGUGUGACUUUCAUGAAUAAAUAAACAAAAUCUUAAAAAAAAAAAAAAA